GAAACUGAUAUGGUUAGACCUCAAACUAUGAAUAGCAACCAGUUGGCAGAGAAUGUGGAAUCUGAUUCCAGGAGAAUAGAUAAUGGAGUAACUUGUCCUACUACUGUUAGUGGAAUAUCUAGUGUGAAUGUUAGUGGAAAUGAGCGGUUACAAGUUACAGGAACUGGUGUUGUUGCUGGGGCUGAAAAGGUAGCUGUGGUGGGUACUAGUGCAACAUCUCUGCCUGACUUACUGAAAAAUAUUGCAGUGAAUCCAACAAUGUUGAUCAAUAUACUCAAAAUGGGACAACGACAGAGACUAGCAAUAGAGGGACAGCAGAAGCCUGUAGAUACUACUAAAACAACAACACAUCCACC
rnacentral:misc_RNA from 1 species